CACGUAGGCACCAAGCGUUGUCCGGAUUUAUUGGGGCGUAAAGGGGCUCGUAGGCGGUUUCGGGUAAGUCGGGGGUUGUUGAAAAACUUCUGGGGGCUCAACCCCAGAGCCCGCCACCCCGAUACUGCUGUGACUCGAGUGCGGUAGGGGGGAGCGGGGGGAAUUUUCCUGGGUGUAGCGGUGAAAAUUGCGCAGAUAUCAGGGAAGAACACCCCCGUGGGCGAAGGCGGGCUCUUCUGGGGGGACGGGUACUGACGCUGAGACGGCGA
rnacentral:rRNA from 1 species